UGGGGAAUAUUGGACAAUGGGCGAAAGCCUGAUCCAGCAAUGCCGCGUGAGUGAUGAAGGCCUUAGGGUUGUAAAGCUCUUUUACCCGGGAUGAUAAUGACAGUACCGGGAGAAUAAGCUCCGGCUAACUCCGUGCCAGCAGCCGCGGUAAUACGGAGGGAGCUAGCGUUGUUCGGAAUUACUGGGCGUAAAGCGCGCGUAGGCGGUUUUUUAAGUCAGAGGUGAAAGCCCGGGGCUCAACCCCGGAAUAGCCUUUGAAACUGGAAAACUUGAAUCUUGGAGAGGUCAGUGGAAUUCCGAGUGUAGAGGUGAAAUUCGUAGAUAUUCGGAAGAACACCAGUGGCGAAGGCGACUGACUGGACAAGUAUUGACGCUGAGGUGCGAAAGCGUGGGGAGCAAACA
rnacentral:rRNA from 1 species